GACGAACGCUGGCGGCGUGCUUAACACAUGCAAGUCGAACGAUGAAGCUAGAGCUUGCUCUGGUGAAUUAGUGGCGAACGGGUGAGUAACACGUGAGUAACCUGCCCCGAACUCUGGGAUAACUGCUGGAAACUGUAGCUAAUACCGGAUACGACCCUCGGCGGCAUCGCCAGGGGGUGGAAAGAAUUUCGGUCAAGGAUGGACUCGCGGCCUAUCAGCUAGUUGGUGAGGUAACGGCUCACCAAGGCGACGACGGGUAGCCGGCCUGAGAGGGUGACCGGCCACACUGGGACUGAGACACGGCCCAGACUCCUACGGGAGGCAGCAGUGGGGAAUAUUGCACAAUGGGCGCAAGCCUGAUGCAGCAACGCCGCGUGAGGGAUGACGGCCUUCGGGUUGUAAACCUCUUUUAGUAGGGAAGAAGCGAAAGUGACGGUACCUGCAGAAAAAGCACCGGCUAACUACGUGCCAGCCGCCGCCGUAA
rnacentral:rRNA from 1 species